rnacentral:rRNA from 1 species
AGGGAAUCUUCGGCAAUGGGGGCAACCCUGACCGAGCAACGCCGCGUGAGUGAAGAAGGUUUUCGGAUCGUAAAGCUCUGUUGUAAGAGAAGAACGUGUGUGAGAGUGGAAAGUUCACACAGUGACGGUAACUUACCAGAAAGGGACGGCUAACUACGUGCCAGCAGCCGCGGUAAUACGUAGGUCCCGAGCGUUGUCCGGAUUUAUUGGGCGUAAAGCGAGCGCAGGCGGCUCUGUAAGUCUGAAGUUAAAGGCAUUGGCUCAACCAAUGUUCGCUUUGGAAACUGCAGGGCUUGAGUGCAGAAGGGGAGAGUGGAAUUCCAUGUGUAGCGGUGAAAUGCGUAGAUAUAUGGAGGAACACCGGUGGCGAAAGCGGCUCUCUGGUCUGUAACUGACGCUGAGGCUCGAAAGCGUGGGGAGCAAAC